UACGUAGGGCGCGAGCGUUGUCCGGAAUCAUUGGGCGUAAAGAGCUCGUAGGCGGUCUGUUGCGUCGGCUGUGAAAACCCGGGGCUCAACUCCGGGCCUGCAGCCGAUACGGGCAGACUAGAGUUCGGCAGGGGAGACUGGAAUUCCUGGUGUAGCGGUGAAAUGCGCAGAUAUCAGGAGGAACACCGGUGGCGAAGGCGGGUCUCUGGGCCGAUACUGACGCUGAGGAGCGAAAGCGUGGGGAGCGAACAGG
rnacentral:rRNA from 1 species